rnacentral:rRNA from 2 species
CUUUCUAUCAAACAAGCGAGUAAACUAACUUUGGUCGAGCUAGUAAACCACCUCAUUCUCUUGGUAUGCCCCAAAUAUGGUAGAUUGAUAGACCUGUUUAGCACUUGUGUGAAGGAUUGACAAUGAAUCCAUUCAAAGGGUUGAGCGCUCGUUUAUACAUAAGGAUUUCCCGUGAAAGAUCUUCUCCCUCCUCUGGAUCUCUCAUAAGCCAGUAACCUCAGAUCAGUCUCGUGCUUGAAUACAGCCAAGUGAGUAUGAUUCCCUGGGUUGUGUAUGCAUGCCUUGUGAGCCAGUUGAACAAGUAGGCAUCUUCCUAAACCAGUUGACAGUGGCGGGUUCACUUUGCCUAUCUCUCAAGCCAUAGGCCUUGCUCUAUCAAUCAAUCAAUAGGCUCCCUGGUCCAGCUUUGAAAGAAGGAAGUAAACAACCUCUCUCGCUGGUCGAGUAAGUAAACAGAAUCAAAGUUAGAGCCUCCUGCCUUUCAUUCACACUAGAAUGAGCCUCAAAGCCCUACCUUUCACUAGCAGAAGCAAAAGAGAGAACUCCAACCUCUCAAGCUGCACCACUUCCUCUUUAUCUGGAAAUCCUUCUCAAUGUCAAGGGAUGGAUAUGCGAUUACCUUACUUGACCAUAAUAACUGCCCUUAUUUCAGACUUUAGCAACCUUGACCUUACGAAUGAGCAAAGACCCAGGAAUUACAAUUAAUAGCAAGAUAUUUACGAUCGCGGACUUCAACGGCACUAAGAUUUGGGACUCGCUCCUUUCCUUUCCUUGGACUGCUGCCCUUGGGAACGGGUUUGGGCAUACUCUCUCUGUGCUGGAAUGAUCCUCUAACCCUCAACACUCAAAGAAGACUUCCCCUGAUCCAUGGGCCAAGCGGAAAGAAGGAAGUUGAAACUCAGUCGACCAUAGGCGUUAUGCUCUUGUCACCGAGAAUGUGGAAGAAUGGCUCACUUGUGACAGUAAGGGAGAAGCACUAAUGGGGAUGGUUUACCAAUACGGAAAUGCAGGGAUCAUUCUCAAGAUCUACCCUAGCCCUUUCACCGGAGUCCAUCUUCGUCCCUUUCAAUCUUAAGGCAUCCAUCCAAUACAUCCUCAUUAAUCAUAAAAGGUCGACUUAGUCAACUACCUUUGCGGCAUCAGGGGCAUCCUCUUGAGACUGAGAGACGAAUCCGGGAUUUGAACUCUAAUAUCGAGCUCCCAAAGGCCAUAAAGAGCACAGAGCCCUAGUAGCAUUGACCUUAGCUACCUCAUACAUCAGGACCAGCGAGCCCCAACCCACACCCUCCAGUCCCGGAGGCCUUGUCUCAAAACCAUUAUUAUCUAAGUGACCGUCAGUGCUCUUAUCAAAGUCUUACCGUGAGGAUUGUCUUUAUUCGAUGGAGCAAUGAUAAUCUACUCCACGUAAGUUGUCCUUACCAACCCCCAUUCUUUUCACAGAGAAUGCGAUUGCUUUGAAAGAGAGUCCAAGUUGGGAGCUCGGCUGUCCGAUUGUGUGUAAAAAAAGAUGUAGUAGUAAAGAGUUACCAGACUCACGUUCCUGCCUUUUUCAACACUUUCUAUAUAAAGGCUUUUCAACUCUUUCAAAUACACGCUAAAAUGAAAGCUCGCUUUGAUUGAUUGCUUGCAACAGCUUUGAGAUAUUUGAGAUACUCGUUAGCGGUUCAGUCCCUAAAACCAGAAGUUUCAAACUGGGCCAUAGAGUUUACAUACUGAUUUCGCAUACCGAAGGGAGGGCCUUGGCUUGGCAGUACUAGCACUGGGGUAUUCAUAAGAUCGAGUCUUGAUCUUAUAGAAAGCUAGACUCUGGGUCCACUUAUUAGAAGAAUCUUUCUUAAGCAGUUUGAAUAGAGGUUCGCACAUGGAUCUAAAAGAGAUAUGAAGCGACUGAUGUACUUUACUCUUUCAAGGAAACUUCUAACUUCCAUCCCAAGGGUUUGGGAGCAGGAGUGAUUGCCUUUG